rnacentral:rRNA from 1 species
AACGAACGCUGGCGGCAUGCCUAACACAUGCAAGUCGAACGAGACCUUCGGGUCUAGUGGCGCACGGGUGCGUAACGCGUGGGAACCUGCCCUUAGGUUCGGAAUAACUCCCCGAAAGGGGUGCUAAUACCGGAUAAUGUCUUCGGACCAAAGAUUUAUCGCCUUUGGAUGGGCCCGCGUUGGAUUAGCUAGUUGGUAGGGUAAAAGCCUACCAAGGCGACGAUCCAUAGCUGGUCUGAGAGGAUGAUCAGCCACACUGGGACUGAGACACGGCCCAGACUCCUACGGGAAGCAGCAGUGGGGAAUAUUGGACAAUGGGCGAAAGCCUGAUUCAGCAAUGCCGCGUGAGUGAUGAAGGCCUUAGGGUUGUAAAGCUCUUUUACCCGGGAUGAUAAUGACAGUACCGGGAGAAUAAGCUCCGGCUAACUCCGUG